rnacentral:rRNA from 1 species
UACGAAGGGUGCAAGCGUUACUCGGAAUUACUGGGCGUAAAGCGUGCGUAGGUGGUUCGUUAAGUCUGCCGUGAAAGCCCCGGGCUCAACCUGGGAAUGGCGGUGGAUACUAGCGGACUAGAGUGCGGUAGAGGGUGGUGGAAUUCCCGGUGUAGCAGUGAAAUGCGUAGAGAUCGGGAGGAACAUCUGUGGCGAAGGCGGCCACCUGGACCAGCACUGACACUGAGGCACGAAAGCGUGGGGAGCAAACAGG